CGCCCGCCCGUGCUUCGGCUAAUAAUCCGCUUAAUCGUCCUUGUCGUUAGCAUCUUCGUGGGCGAUCGACAAUUUCGCAGUUGCAGUUCAUCACCUCCGAUCACCGGGCCGGCCUGUCGGAGAGCUAUCAAUGGUUCUCCAUAGACGAUCGACUCGCUUCCGUCUUCGAUUCUCAUUCAAGCAGCGCAGCCUGCUGAAACCAAUCUAUCAGGCGCAUUGCACCGUAAAAGUAAACGACCAACUCCUCUGGGUCGUGACCAGCCGUGAACACGACGAAGAUGCACUUCCGGUUUGCUUUCCUCUUGUCUACACAUUUCUGGGAUCAAUCUACGGCAACACCGUUGAUCCGGCAUCAACGGAAUUGUGUCUCGAGAGCCUGACCAGCGUCGAGUAAAAUGCUAUUUGAAAUACUGAAUGAUCUAUUUUACGUGGAACUAUAAAAAUAAACGUCUGUCAUCGUAUAUUGUAUUCGAACGGCGCUCUCGACAAUGCAAUACUACGUUCGCAUAUUCUUUGAACUUAUUGUUAUUACCAAGAAAUAUUUCGAAUUAUUUGAAUAGAAAAUAUUUCAUCCGC